UACCAGCACCCCGAGUGGUCGGGACGAUUAUUGGGCCUAAAGCAUCCGUAGCCGGUUCUACAAGUCUUCCGUUAAAUCCACCUGCUUAACAGAUGGGCUGCGGAGGAUACUAUAGAGCUAGGAGGCGGGAGAGGCAAGCGGUACUUAGUGGGUAGGGGUAAAAAUCCGUUGAUCCAUUGAAGACCACCAGUGGCGAAGGCGGCUUGCCAGAACGCACUCGACGGUGAGGGAUGAAAGCUGGGGGAGCAAACAGG
rnacentral:rRNA from 1 species